rnacentral:lncRNA from 1 species
UGUUAUACAUGAUCAAUGCAUUGAUCGAUUGUAUUAUCUAAAAUUCUUCGGCCAAUAAAAGUUGGGAAAAUCAUGUUGAAAGGCGAAUCCACCAGUGAAGAGGGCCCCAGCAGUAAUUGGCGUAAAUAUCAAGAUUCAAAUUCCAAUUUCAAUAUCAAAACGAUUAGUAAAUUCAAUGCACUUUGUCUUUCCGUCAGCGCAAUAGGAGCCAUCCAUUACUAAUCCCACACGCACCGCCCUCAUCAUCUUCUAACCAGACUCCCGACCGACUUCCGACCGACUCCUCUUUCUGCAUUUACUAUGUGAAGUCAAUUCUUUUAUUUUGGAUAAAGAGAGUGCAUCGGCAAUAAGGGUUUUGAUAAAAAAGUGCAAAAAACAAAAAUAUAACACUUAACAAGUGUACCCACAAGCAAUCAAGUUUCAUAAAAUGCCAAUUUGAACUUAUUAUUAGCUACAUAAGCCUGAACCCGUCUUUCACGUUAAGCGAAGAACUCGGUCUUCGCAGAGAUAUUAGUUAGUCAAGCUUUGAUGCCUUUAUACAUGGGCCAGAGAGUGUCAAAUCUGCUUAGCUAUAUAUGGUGUUAUUUUUCCACAGGCAAUGCCAACUAAUAAGUUCCAAUCACAUGUUCUUUCAAUGCGAGGCACAGCACAUGUAGAUAUCCGUGACACAUCAAUCUGUUCUAUCUUUUGGCUUUUUUAAAGAAAAAAUGAGUGGGGAUAAUUUUUUCCUUAAGAAAUGUGAAUUGAUUACACAUUUCUUCAAUAUUAGUGAGGGUAUAAAAUAUAAAUAACAUUUUAU